GUGCUCACUUUGGUAGCACAUGCAUUAAAGUGAGAACGAUACAGAGAAGAUUAGCAUGGCCCCUGAACAAGAAUGUGACUUCUACAGCCAGACUCCCUGGGUUCUAAU
ensembl:snRNA U6 U6 spliceosomal RNA